rnacentral:rRNA from 1 species
UUGCGAUUGUUUCACCGGAUUACGAUUUACGGUGGAAAAGUUGACCCUUACGGGCACACCAUUCGGUUGAGCGACCUAUCAGCUUGUACUUAGGGUCUUUGCCUAUGUAGGCUAUCACGGGUAACGGGCGGUUACCGUCGGACUGCCGGAGAAGGCGCCUGAGAGAUAGCGACUAUAUCCACGGGUAGCAGCAGGCGCGAAACUUACCCACUCGAGACUUUCGGAGGUGGUAAUGACCAGUUCCAUGUCAACCUUAUGGUUA